UACGUAGGGUGCGAGCGUUAAUCGGAAUUACUGGGCGUAAAGCGUGCGCAGGCGGUUGUGCAAGUCAGAUGUGACAUCCCCGGGCUCAACCUGGGAAUUGCAUUUGUGACUGCACGGCUAGAGUGUGGCAGAGGGGGGUAGAAUUCCACGUGUAGCAGUGAAAUGCGUAGAGAUGUGGAGGAAUACCGAUGGCGAAGGCAGCCCCCUGGGAUAACACUGACGCUCAUGCACGAAAGCGUGGGGAGCAAACAGG
rnacentral:rRNA from 1 species